rnacentral:rRNA from 1 species
CUACGGCCCUGCCACGCUGAACUCGCCGGAUUCAUCUAAUCUUGGAAGCUAAGCAGGGUUGGGCCUGGUUAGUACUUGGAUGGGAGACCACCUAGAAGACCAGGUGCUGCGUGGG